rnacentral:rRNA from 1 species
AGGGUUUGGAUCAUGGGCUCAGAACGAACGCUGGCGGCGUGCUUUACACAUGCAAGUCGAACGGAAAGGCCCCCUUCGGGGGGUACUCGAGUGGCGCACGGGUGAGUAACGCGUGGGUAAUCUGCCCUCAGGACUGGGACAACUCCGGGAAACUGGAGCUAAUACCGGAUAAGACCACGAGCUCGUCAGAGCUUGCGGAAAAAGAUGGCCUCUUCUUGAAAGCUAUCGCCAGAGGAUGAGCCCGCGUCCCAUUAGCUUGUUGGUGAGGUAACGGCUCACCAAGGCGACGAUGGGUAGCUGGUCUGAGAGGAUGAUCAGCCACACUGGAACUGAGACACGGUCCAGACUCCUACGGGAGGCAGCAGUGGGGAAUUUUGGGCAAUGGGCGAAAGCCUGACCCAGCAACGCCGCGUGAGGGAUGAAGGCCUUCGGGUCGUAAACCUCUGUCGGGGAGGGAAGAACGUGAUCCAUUCAAAUAGGUUUGGAUGACUGACGGGUACCUCCAAAGGAAGC